ACUGAGAAUAGAGUGAGUCUGCUCUUCUCUCUGUUCUGCUCUUCUCCCUGCUCUACAGAUAAGGACACUCUGGCUGAGUAACACAUCUAGAGUCAUCCAGCAAAUAACUGGCACACGAGAGUUCUGACCCACACUUGCUACCUGCAGAACCUGUACCGUCAAUGUCCACACAGCGCAGCUCUAGGAAAUGAUGGCCCAUUUUCUUUCUUCCUUUUUUUUGAAACAGGGUCUUGUUAUGUUGCUCAGGCUGGCAUCCAACUCCUGUAAUCAGGAGAUGCAGAUGAAGAUGGAGAUGGAAUAACAAGCCUCUCUGAGUCCUGGGUCAACUUCUGCAAACUCUCCCAUUAAGGCCACCUCCCUUUCUCCUAUCCAGCAAUGCCCUGUCCCCUAGAAGAGGUUAAAUUCCCCAAAUCAAUGCUUUGUUUUUCUGACUAGUUUCUUCUGAACAAAAGCACUUGUUUCUUUAUUUUCCACUUGGAACAUAUCAAAGCAAACCCCAGGGCAGCUUUGAUAUCUUCUUGCAGCAACACAGUCACAGGUAUGAUGGCGGUUACAGAUUUUUCUCUGCCUUAAUAAAGAGAGAAGAUGCUGUCUGAAAAGACACAGCCCACCCAGGAUGGGUGUGUGGACUCCACCCUCCUUAAUCCUGCAGGCUGAGUGAUCAGCUCCUUAGGUUAACAGAAGCAUGUCCCUAAGUGACCAUGUUACUGCUUGCUGGGACCAAAGGCCAAGCCCAUUCUCCUGCGAGGGACAGAAAACUCUUUGGCAGAGGGAAUUUUUCAACUACAGUCCUUGCAGGAAGAGACUAGUCAUGGGGCAGGUUGAAAGGGGGGAAUGUACACUCUGCUCAGGACCCAGGUGCCAGGCCUGAGGUGUACUGGGAUCAUUUGGGAAAACCAGAAACCUAUAAGAUGGAGCUUCCUGAGGAAUCCCUGGCCACUAUCCCAAGUUGAUGGGGAUGUCUGAAGGAAAAUUUGGGGUUCUCAGACUGUCUUGGUGUGAAUCACUUUGGCUUCUGAGAAGCCUGUAAAUUCCUUCUUAGAAUAAUGUCAUAAAUACAGAAAACCAAGUGGGAUUAAAGGAAAGCAAUUCUAUUGAAGCGGGAUAUAUCCAUGCCUUCCUUGGUUAAGAACUGCUUAGGGAACUAAAGAGGCCUACAUUUUGACACAAAACAUAACUGUGGGGAAAGAGUUCUUGUGAGAUCUGGGUUUUGUAUCUCAGACUGCCAUGGGCCAUUUGGACAGCCACUUGUGAUAAAGACUACUUGGUUCUUGCAGAGCAUCCAAUUCAAGUGACUCAGUCUGAGUGUUGACUGAGUCACAUAGAUGUUGUAUUAUACUUGAACCUCAAAUGGCAGGCUGCAAUAUGUCUUCUAAAUGUAGAGACAUUUCCAUAGAAUCAGAUUUUGACUGUGUUGAAUAGGUUUGUUUAUGAAGGACAUCAACACAUUGUUUUAUAUUUUACAUUUUAGACUACUUUUUUUAUGAAGUAUAUACAUCAUAAUUCAACCCAAUUCAAUCCUCAGAGACAUAUAGAUAUAGGGCAUCAAAGACUCACUUUAACUUUGAUUUACAUCUUCAUAGUGGUUUCCCAAUGUCCAAUGCUUGCUGUGUAUUUAGACAGUUUCCAUGGAGCCUGAGAGCUGCCCUAUGCACAUUGAGUUCCAUGCUUAGUACGAAUUACAUUGAUCAGGCUGAAGCUUUUGCUCACCUGCUCCUGUGGGGCUUUGCAACUCCAACAGGCACCUGCACAUUCAGAGGUGUUGUCAUUACCCUCAGAGCUAUGUACACAAGCGAGUCCUGGCCUGUUAAGAGUUGCCUCCAGUUAUCACAGACCCAGACACAUGGCGCUGUGGAGGAGCCAAGGAGACAAGCAGCACCCACACCCUACCCCACAACCAGCAUCAGGACCCUGGCAUACUCACUCCUCCCCAUGCAGGUCUGGGUCACCUUCCCCAUGCAUCCUGCAACCCUGAUCCCAGGCCCAACUCUCACUCCCACACAAUGUGGGUGACAGGCCCCCUCUGCCAGAACCAUCCAAAAUAUACCGAGACCACUGUAGGGAAGACUUGAAUCUAGCAAAAGGCCCCUCCUGGCUCCCAGCCAAAGGAUUCUGCAAUCUCCUACAAUAACUUCUCUGCAGUGACCUCUUCAAAGGACCCUUCCUUAGCAGUUUACAUCAAUGCUUUUCAUGCAAUGUAGAAAGGUGUUUAAGACAGGUCUCUGGCUGAACUUACUUCAUAGUGGCAUCUAUAAAAGACUUGCAGUCUCCCCUGUGGUCUGGGACAUCCCCACUUGAGCUAUACUCUUCCACACAAUGUGUCCUUUUCAGAGGACUCACCAGCUAAACUGAAUUUUUACAGAUGGUGGUAUCUGCUCUAUGAAGCCUGAGGAAUUGGUGUCCUUAGAGUGUCUCAGAGAUGUCUACACUCAAGCAAGCCCUGAGUAAGGUCUGUUUCAGAUCCUGGGUAAAGCAUGGGGGUUAACAUAUUCAAGUUCUUAAGAAGUGCUGGAAGGAAAAAAAAAACUUCUGCAGAUAAUAAAGUCUAAAGAAUGUUUAAAUAUCAAAUAUGUCACUUCUUUACUUGGAAGUUGUCAAAUGGAAAUUGACAGAUUCAAAGGCGAAAGAAUAAAUUUCUCAUCUCUAAGAAAAAUCUUGUUUCCAAGGGAUAUAAAAAGAAUGAUGAAUGAAAGGAAUUGAAAAUCAAGUAAGCUCAGGGACCGAUUUUGCUUCAUGCACUCUAUUCAUCUGAAAAAAAAAUGCAAUCAUUUACUCACCUCUUUAGGGGAAGACAGACCUGAAGAGAAUAUUCAAGUGCCAAUUUCCUAUUACUAAUCUUUUCAAUGCAGAAAAAUAUGAUUUAAGCAGUCUUAACAAAAGCGGGAGUAGAUUAUAACCUCCUGACAUUGCCUUGUUGGACUUGCCGGUGGCCGCAGAUGAGCCCCAGACACCUGUAACUUCUUACAAAUAGUGUGACAGGUAAGCCCUUAAUAAAACAUCAACUCUAAAACCUUGGCAAAGGCCACUUGGCUUUCAAACAUUCUUUUGUGUAUCAAAGCUUAGGCCUGACGCUUCCAAAGGACACACGCUGCAAGAUGUUUUUGGUAGAUCUUAUGGCAAAGCUCUUUGCAACACCUUGGCAAGGAGAUCGUCAUUCCCUCCAAAAUACACAGGCCAAUGCAUGUGAGAACCGGCUCCCUCCCCUUCCAUCUGAAGCAUUUAAGAUCUCCAAGCUUUGCUUAGGCAGCUCUCUCUGUUUGGAAGGCCCUUCUUCCUAGAUCCUCUUCUGCAUAUAUGAGAUGCAAGGGUCCUUAUCACUCUACUAUAAGUAGAAGGACACUAGGCCAUCAUGCUGUGCCUUAAGAUGUGACUCUUGUCCACAUCCCGAUGGAGCAAAGCAUCUCACUCUUCCUGAAAUCUCAGACCUCAGUUUUCCCCCGUGGGGUUGGUAUGUUAACUCACAAGCAUUAUUUUAAGAAGCAAAUGAGCAAUUAUUAUUGUGUUAGAGCCGUAUAUAUUAAAGUAGUAUCUGGUGUUAGCUAUUAUUUGAAUCUUCCUUAAUAUUAUUAUCAUUGUGUUCUUUUUUUUAUAGGAAAGUUUAGUUAAUUCUUCUUUUGGACCAAGUUCAAAUAAUCUAAUUUCCUUUUUAUCGGUCCCACUUAGAAACCACCGCCACUGCAUGAAAUUUGCAGAAACGUGGCAACUGCCCUGUGAAAAGAACACUGGAAGAUUGGGGUGGCCCUGAAUAUCUCCCCUCUGUCAAUGUUAGUAUUUGAUGACCUUGUUUGUUUUUUGUGAUAGGUUUUUUUUUUUUUUUUUUUUCCAUCAGCCUGGGGAAAAUGGAGUAUAAAGAGGUAAAGCCAGGAUGGUUUCUCCAGUAGUCACUAGGGCUAGAGUGGGAACCUGUUCCUACCAAAGGCUCCAAGUUCCACCUCCUAUAACAAUAACUAGAAUAUAUGUUCUCGCUGUGUACAGACCAAUUAAAGUAAACUACAGGAUCCACUAGAGGAGAGUGAAUCUGGGAACCCACUUAUGGCAUGGGAACUGAGCAAUCAAGCUUUUCACAGUGAUUGAAGGUGCAGGUUUAAUAAUGCCAAGGGGUGGGCCGGCCCAGUCUCCCCAUGAAUUCACUAAUUGUGUUUAUUUUACACACGGUCUACCUGUGUCUUUGAGGUCUGGGAUCAUUAAGAAGGAAUGACAGUGCUCCUAUGCAGAGCAGUUGAUCCUGGAGUUCAAGGUCAGAGGGAAUCGUGUUAGCAGCAUGGCUGCUGGAGUCUCAGCUCUUAGGAGUCUCAGCUGUUGGAGUCUCAGGUCUUCUAAUGGGUUGGCCAGUCCAGAGAAAUCCCAUGCUGAACACCCAGCAGCACCCAUGCCAGCCAUCAAUGCAUGCAUCCUACCCCACUGGUGAAAGGGAAAUUCCAUGUUAUCAAUAUAAUUAGAUCAUCAAGGGGAAAAAGCUUUUCAAAUUAGCAAGAGAAUAAUUUCUUUUUUUUUUUUUUAAGGAGGGUACAAGUUUCACUUAAAUUUGGCUACAGAUCACACCUAGGCCACCUGGCCAGGUUGGGGAGCAGGGAUAACACCCAUGCUGGGGCCCAACAUAAGCUGGUGGAGGGAUUGCCUUGCAUCAGGAUUGAAGGCUCACACCAGCCUCACCAAAGUCCUGUAUCCAGAAUGCAUUUUCAAGGGAACUAAUCAGGCCUAUGACCCAGUUUCUGCCCAAGAAAAAAAAAGUCCUACAAGCAGACUGUUCUUGGGGUUCAACCACUUUGUACACUAUUCAUUAGCUCUUCACUUUCUGCCUUCUGGAACAUCAAGUGUACCUGUGCAAAUCCACAGUGCUGGGCAUCCGGGUUGUCUGCACACAGGACACACAGCCAUCCCAAUUCACAAUUAAGUGGCUAGUAUUUUAUAAAACAGUAGAAUAGAAAGAAAUGGGAACCAAAGAACUAUUUGUGUUCUUUUCAAUGGAAUAAUCAGAAAAUCCCCUAGAGAUUUUCAAAAUGGCCUAGAGACUCAUAUUUCACACUUAGAUAAAAUAUUCUGUAUUCUCUUCAUAUCUACAAUUAUGCAUUGUUUGUUAAUUAUUCAAUAAUCACUAAUCACUAUGUUCCAGACAAUUAGUUCAAGGUCUACCUUUCUCUAUUAACCUCACGAUUGGUAUUACUGUGUUAAGUGGUUUAAAUCUGGCCUACACAUUAUCAUAAUGAUAGAGUAUAGAAUCAUACAUGCACAUUACCAAGGACAUAUAUAUAUAUAUAUGUGUGUGUGUGUGUGUGUGUAUACGUGUGUGUGUAUAUAGUUUUUUACAAAAAAGCAGAGGAACUCACAUGGAUAAAAUUGCAAUUCUUAUAUGCAUAACAUUGGCAAUUGUUUUAGUCAGCUUUUUCACUGCUGUAACUAAAAGACCCGACAAGAACAAUUUUAGAGAAGGAAAAGUUUAUUUGGGAUCUCACAGUUUCAGAAGUCUCAGACCAUAAACAGUUGGUUUCAUUCCUCAGGGCUUGAGUUGAGGCUGAACAUCAUGGUGGAAGAGUGUGGUGGAGGGAAGCAGCUCACAUGAUGAUCAGAAGGCAGAGACACAGAGACUCUACUCACCAAAUACAAAAUAUAUACGCUAAAGCCAUACCUGCAAUGCCCACCUCCUCCAGCCACACCAUGUCCACCUUCGGUUACCACUCAGUUAAUCCCUAUCUGGGGAUUAAAUCACUGAUUAGGAUUAUAACUAUCAACCCAAUCAUUUCUCCUCUAAACCUUCUUGCAUGGUCUCACACAUGAGCUUUCAGAGGACAAACCAUAAUAGCAAUCUUUAAUUUGUGUAAUUCCAUGUUCACUGUCAGUAUGCUGUUUAUAAUAUCUACUGUUAAUAAUAAAGACAAUGAAUUGUCUCACUAUGGCAAUAUAUCUAUAUUGAUCUUUUCAAUAAAAGUUACUAUGUGCAUAAUGAGUGUCUAACAUAAUACCAUAAAAGAAAUGAAAGCAACUAAUCUUCUUGGGAGCCACUGUAAGUACAAUCUGCAAAUAAAAUAUUACAACUUCUUAAAAGUUUUUAUAAAACUUUUAAGUUUAUUUAAUUUUAAUUUUUUAGCACUCAUCAAAUUCAACUGGAUGAUUAGCAAUAGCAAUAGCUCAUACUGGCUCACACAAAAGGCCUAUUAAACUCCCAGGAAUUUUGUAAGCUAAUUGUUAAAUUCUGACGUUAUUAAAUAUCAAAUUAUACAGACUUGUAAGUUUGAAUUGAGUUAAAUUAAAUGGCACUUGGUGAUGUCUUUCAUAGCAGAAACUGACUAUGUUGGGAGUAUUUAUAUCAUAGAAAUCAGCAAACAUCACAAAUCAGAGCCUGAUUUGUUGUUUUGUUGAGUGCCUAGACUGAAGAAUGUAAAGAAGGAAAUGUUAGAAUAAAAUUAAACUUAAAAGUGUGUUGUGUACAUGGCUGUUACAUUGUGAAAUAGCUCAACAAAUUGAGACGAUGUUCUUCCAGUAUUCAGAGCCUAUCAUCCAAUUCAACACUCACAUCAUUGAAGAGCAGACCCUGCAAGUUCCAAUAUAUACAUCUUCAUUGUUUCAUCUUCACCUUAUUUGUUGACAUAAUUAUGAAAACAUCAAUUAACAUUCAUGUUAAAAUAACAGUUUUUACAUCAGCUACAACACUAAGUCAGCUACAGAUAUGAGAUGUCCACGAAAAUCAGGGAAAUCAUUAUAUGGGAGUUCAAUGGUAUUCAUGAUAUAAUUAUAUUUAUUUUAUGUUAUUGAUAAAUUGUGUGCAAUAUAUCUUCAUUCAAGGAUAAUUGGCAAUAAAAUUAUAUAUGUAUAUAGGCGUACUUUUUUGUUCAGAAGAGAUAAUUACUAAACCUUUACCAGUACUCCACUUAGUGAGUGUUUUCAUUAAUUUUUCUCUGCAUGUAUGAAAAUUCUAGUCAAUGUAGAGGAGAUCUAUUUGGUUGAGCAUGGUGGCACAUGCCUGCAACCCAGAAGGACCCAUUUGAGGCUAACCUGGGCUACUUAUUGAGACCUUGCCUCAAAAAUGAAAAUAAAAAGGCCUGGGAAUAUGGGUCAGUGACAGAGUACCCCUGGAGUCAAUCCCCAGUACUGCUACCAAAAUAAAAAGGAAAUAUAUUCACUUAAGUACUUUUUCCCAAGACAAGAUAUUGAUAUGUGUUGUUCAUUUAAAGAACUCCAAUUAAGAAAUAAAUUCCUUUAGUGAUACUUACCAAAAUUUAAGCUAUACUCAAAAUGAUUUAUAUACUACCAUUCCAGCAUUCUUAGCAAAAAAAUAUUAUCCACUUUCGUCCAUUUAAAUUACAGAAGUUCCCCACUCCUUUUACCCAUUGUUUUGUUUUCAGGGUUUCAAUUACCCAAGGUCAACAGCAAUCCAAAAUUUGGAGUGGAAAAUUCCCAAAAUAAAUCUUAAGCUUAUAUUGCAUGACACCUGAAUAAUAUAGUGAAAUCCUGCAUCAUCUCACCCCAUACCCUGGGGAUGUGAGUCACCCUCUCUCUGUCCAGCAUUAUCCAUCCUAUCAUGUACCCACCCACCAGCCACUUAGUAGCUGUCUUGGUUCCAGAUCAACUGUCACUAACUCACAGUGCUGUGCUCAACUAACUCUUAUUCUACUUAAUAGUAGCCCCAAAGCGUAAGGGUGGUGAUACUGGCAAUUUUACUAUGCCAAAUGGAAGUCAUAAAGUAGUUUUUUAAGUGAAAAGAUGGAAGUACAGAGACAUAUUUUGAGAAAUUUACAAAAUUUUUAUUACAAUAUAUUUUUAAAAAUGAAUAUUUAUUGCUGUCAAUCUCUUACUAUGCCUCAUUUAUAAACUGAACUUUAUCAUAGUCAAAUACGUAAAAGAAAAAUAUAGUAUACACAGGGCUCCAUACUAUCUGUGGUUUCAGGCAUCACUAGGGGUCUCAGAUUUAAUGAUGUUACAUAUCUCAUUAUUCCAUUUAUUUUUUAAUAAGAUUUUAUUUUUUCUUUUACUUAUAUUUUUAAAAACUUAUGUGUGUGUGCGUGUGUGUGUGUGAGAGAGAGAGAGAGAGAGUGUGUAUGUGUGUGUUUACAUAGGCACACCUACACAUACUGAACUUUUUCAGAAGAAUGAAAGCAAGGAUAUUCUAACAAGCUCAGUGUCCAGCUUCUUCCCAGAAGUCCAGGUAAGAGAGUCAGCCCAGUGUGGCAGGAAGGUACAAGAUUCCAGUCCUGUUACUAGCACCAAUCCCAGAGGAGCAUUGGCCAAGAAAGCUCAGAAGCAUGUUCCAAAAAACAAAGAAACAAAGGUGCAAUGAGAGAAACGGUGGAGUGAGGGUGUGCCCAACAAAGAGGAGCUAUAGAUAAUGCUGAGUGGGCAGGGCACCUGUUCAAGGAAUAACCAGAAUCUAGAGGAGACGACCAAGGUAUUCUAUCGAGCAAAGCACAUCUUGGGGGGCAGAUAUGUCAGGACAAAUCGAUUGUGAGAAUAAAAUUAUAUUUCUGGGAUUUCUGUGUUGUUGUUGCAUCUAGAAAAGUGCUUAGCCACAAGAGGGUCUAAUAUCAUGGAAUAACUGAAUGAAUGAAUAAUGUGGGGAGCUGGGGAGUAGGCAUAAAGCUUGAAGAUUUUAUGUUUGGAGAAUACAUAGAACGAAGAUUUUUCUCUGGGCACUGAGUUUAAAGCACCAACUCUCCAGGCGGGGGUGGGCAAAUUCCAGCGCAGCUCCUAAUCCAGCCCAUUCUCUGGUUCUACAAGUUAGAUUUUACUGUAAUUCAGGUGCUCAUGGGUUUAUCGUGUCUUUUAGCAUCAUAUCCCCAGAAUUGAAUAGUUGUGAUGGAGAAUGCAUGCCCUAAAAAAAACUAAAUAUUUCCUCUUUGGACCUUUGGAGAAAAGGUUUGCUAAUCCCUGCCUUAGAAGAAUUAAUGCAAUAGGCAGAAUUCUUCUGAUAUUCCUCUCUUUCAUAAGAUUCCACAGAAACAAAGUAAUUGAAUGAUUCAUUUUUUUCCAACUAAUAUUUACUGAAUGCCUUCUUGAUGUUGUUGGGAAUCAGUAAGAUAUUGGUACAGCCCCCACAUGCUCAGUUCUAGUUGGAGAGAAGAAUGUCUAUUAUGAUGUCCUGUCAAGGAUGAAGACAUAAACUUGAAGAAAGCCCCCAUGGUCAGCAUGUGAUUAGAGCAAGGGUCACUGGCAAGGGAUGUCUCGGGCUUCACAAAGCAGCUUGCUAUCCCUCAUUGUUCUGCUUCUUUGAAGCAUUGAGGGUCCUGUAGCCUCAGAAUAGGGGUAAAGGCCUGAGGAUGACCCAAUGGGCCUCUUGCACAUCGAGAGAGAUUAUGAUGACAGCAAAGGCAACACCCUGUCUCUUUUCUCAUUUUGACCAAUGACCCAUGUUCAUAUACCCCUUGGUGCAGGGAGAGGUAAGUGACGACCUGUUCUGUUAGGUGCAUCAGGUUCUGUGCUAAGCCCUUCAGGAACAUCACU
rnacentral:lncRNA from 1 species